rnacentral:rRNA from 1 species
UAAAACUCUAUGGAAUUGACUGUGGGCCUUCCAAGCGGCGGAGCAUGCGGAGUAAUUUUGAUGCAACGCGAAUAACCUGACCAAGGCUUGACAUGGACCGGACCGCCGCAGAAAUGUGGUUUCUCCUUUUGGGGCCGGUUCACAGGUGGUGCAUGGUUGUCGUCAGCUCGUGUCGUGAGAUGUUGGGUUAAGUCCCGCAACGAGCGCAACCCUCGUUCCAUGUUGCCAGCACGUGAUGGUGGGGACUCAUGGGAGACUGCCGGGGUCAACUCGGAGGAAGGUGGGGACGACGUCAAAUCAUCAUGCCCCUUAUGUCUUGGGCUUCACGCAUGCUACAAUGGCCGGUACAAAGGGUUGCGAUACUGUGAGGUGGAGCUAAUCCCAAAAAGCCGGUCUCAGUUCGGAUUGGGGUCUGCAACUCGACCCCAUGAAGUCGGAGUCGCUAGUAAUCGCAGAUCAGCAACGCUGCGGUGAAUACGUUCCCGGGCCUUGUACACACCGCCCGUCAAGUCACGAAAGUUGGUAACACCCGAAGCCGGUGGCCUAACCCCUUGUGGGAGGGAGCCGUCGAAGGUGGGACUGGCGAUUGGGACUAAGUCGUAA